rnacentral:tRNA from 1 species
GCCGGGGUGGCUCAGUUGGUUGAGCAUCUGACUUCAGCUCAGGUCAUGAACUCAUGGCUCGUGAGUUCGAGCCCCGCACUGGGCU